CAUUGAAGCAAGAGGGUUAAGAGGGAGUCUACAAGUGGAGAUAUGUUCAUUGGAAAGAUAAAUUUGGUGUUCGGAGCAUUCUUGAAUGAGCUGCUGUCAUUGAAGCAACAAAAAGCUUAGUAAAAAGAACGAUGAGGUUCUCUCUCUUAUUCUACGUAAGUAGUCAGUCUCCAGAGAAAUUAAUUAAUGUGUUUUUCUUGUCGAACUCUUGAAGAGUUUUGAUUCACUGAAACCAAACACGGAUUAGCUAGGAAUAGAUGUUGUGAAAAUAAAUGUCGCAUUUUCAUACCAUCUUGUUUUACCUAUAUGUACUUGCAUCUUUAUCUUUCAUUAUCGCUCGCUCUUGCUAACAUAAGUGAGCCUUUUCUCAGGAAAAUCAUGACAACAUUUGGAGAUGUUGAGGGAGCAUUGGAGGAGGACUUUCUUUACUCGUAACUCUUUCCCCACACUUAUGUUUAUAAUCUUAAGCAUUAGUCGAGACAGUGCGUUAGCAUAUCCAAUAAAACUGGAAUUUUGAGAAUUUUUAAACUAUAUUAAUCAUACCUAAUUUCAGGGAAUCAGCAUAAUUUGUAUAAAGGUAGUAAAAAAGAAAAAGCUGUAUGAAAAACAUGACAUUUAUACUCUAAAAGACGAAGAAAUAAUUAGGAUUACAUAUAUCACGUUAGGUUGCUAGGGAACUUUUCGAAGGAUUCGAAAAUACUCAGAAUAAUACCGACGAAAGCUUAUAAAAACGUGUUGAUGCUUAUGAUGGAAACCUAUUCAUCAUCAAUCCAAGGGGAAGAGGAUAGGUUCGCUUUUCUUUAAAUACUACUUAUUGUAGAAGCCGGUAAACCGGACUGAUGUAAACGAUAUAAUAAAAGCGAAGUUAAGGAAAUAGACGAAUAUAGAAAACGAAUACGAGAACGAUAAGAAAUCGUAUUCGCAACGAGACAUGGAGGCGAGAUAUGAUCUCUUUCCUUAACUCAAAAUAUUCGCUCCGUUAGUGAGACAGGACUGUACGAAUAUAGAGUCUCAGGAUACAACCAUGGCAGACGAGUCACGCCUCACCCGUGAUCGCCCUAUCGAACUAAAAAUCUACGAAACACUCUCGCAAUAAUAGACUUACGCAGAGGGAUUUUUGCUGUUGGAUUUCGAUUCAGAAAAGGUUAAGAAAUGAAGGAAGAGGAGAGACGAUAUUUAAAGAGACGGAAACGACCCACUUCCCGCAACAGCUGCUGCACGUGGGCGAGAAUCUCGCGGAGAUCGAGGGAAGUUGAGUUCUGAAAACUUUUUCCUCAAGACUCUCUCUUAUCUCGUUUUAAACUUUCGAGAGGAUAAAAUGCAUGACGUUUUUAUUUUCUAGACAAACUACUUGUCGUUUUAAAUAAAAUUGUAUGCUGUUUUUUCUCGAAAUAAAUGGCAAAACGUUGAGCUUAACUUGGUCCAAAAAAAAUAAUUUUUAUUGGGCCAAAAGUCCUCCACCCAAGCCCAAGACCACGCCCGAGCCGGACGGCGGCGGCAGCGUGCGCGUGGGAAACCUUUCUCUUUCACCAAGCCGUUUAAGCUCUCAUAGUGAGAAGGUAUAUUUAUAUCACUCCAAUUCUCUCCUCUUGGCCGAUGUGGGACUCUUCCCCUUAGCCAUAUUUCAUUUAAUCGACAUUUAUUUGGGCUCACAGCAUCUGAGGCCCAAUAUCAUUUGUAUUCACAUUAUUAAUAAAAGCCUAAUGGCUAUUAUUGUAUCCAACACUUAUUAUUCCCUUCACAUAUGUAUAUUAUUACUGUAGGUUCCACAACAACUUAUGCACUCGAAUUCGGAUAGCAUUAUAAACUUCUUUACGUACUUUCUUUUUCUAUUUUAAAGUUUUUUUUCAUGCUUAAUCUUAUUUAAAUAACGUGAUCAACUCCAUUACUAAUGUUUACCUAUUUUAGGUUGCCAUCUUCCGAUCCACGACUAUUAUAUGUGUUAAAACUUCUUUUAGAAUCUGAUAUUAGAUUUGUUUUUUUCAAUUACUUUGCUUUUGGUACAUACAUACAUAAAUCUACUGAGAUUCAUAUAUUUGAAAAUUACCGAACUGUUUAUCUGAAAUCGAAUUAACCAAAAUAUUUUGAUUAAUUGAAGAUACAAAGUUCUCUUCAUAUAUCAGCUAGGAUGCUUUUCUUUUUUACAAAUAGCUAGGAUGUUUUCAAUUUUUACUUGGUUCGUCAAACAGAAAUUACCCGUUCUUUUUGUUUGUCGCUUGGUUUAGAUGGUCGGACCAUCUUCCAAGAGAGUGGUUAAUUAGCAAGACAUGUAUUAAACACAGUACUAUCUUUAAGCUAUUGGUUCGACAUGCUGAAAGAAUUCACGUAUCAGAGCUUUUAGAUUCGAUCAACUACAUGAUACAACAAUUACUAGUUUGGAAAAGUUAUUUCGACUUUAUUCUUGUUUUUUGAACAUUAUAUUCCGACUAUAUCCUCUGAAAAUUUUAGUAAAAGUAAGACAUAUUACGUAGAAAAAGUUAACAUUCAUGAACAAAAUAAAAGCUGUAAAACCAGUAUUUAUAUAUUACAAGAUAUGAGUCCGUUGCAUUGCAACGGAUUUUUGUUCGAUGUUUUAAUUUAAUAAAAACCAUAAAAUAAUAAAUCACUUUAUUAUAGUAUUAUGAUUGUUUUUUACAUAUGUUGUUUGAGAUUUAUUUUAUAAUUAAAAUAUUUUCACGUAUAAGUUCAAGUUAAUAUUUGUCUUUUAUAAUCAUGGUGCAUAGAUGAAUUGUUAUAAACUUUAUACUAAAGAUGAGAGAAAAUACUAUACAUAAACAUUAAAACUGAACACAAUCCGAAAUAAGAAAUGAAAAGUAAAAAGAAAUGAAAGUUAAAUACACCAAUCGAAUCAAUGAUAGCAUUAUACAUGUUCUUAUGUACUAAUUUAAUGUUUUAUUAAAUAAGUCUUUAAAAUUUUAUUUUGCUAGGAUUUUUUUUUGAAAAAUGAAAACAUUCUAUUUUAUAAAUCUCCUUUUUAUUUACAGUUAAAAAUAAAAAUAUCAAAUACUCUUUUAUAAUUUUGUUUAAGAUUUUAGAAAAGGUAAAUUACUGUCAUAUAACAUAUUACAAUUAUUUUCUCUUUAGAAUUUCAUAAAAAAAAAUAUUUCUAUCAAAUAAUUAUUUUUAGUUAUUAAUAAAUAUUUUAAAAAUUGCUAUUUUUACAAUUCGUAUCAAUACUAAUUUUACGCUUCUUUUGUUAAUUAAAUAAUUUUUAGUAUCAUGUUCAUCAUCAAACACUCUCUUAAAAAUAAUAACAAAUAAAGUUUUACAAUUAUUUUUUGGUCAGGACUUAAAAAUAUUAUACAAAUUUCUUUUGUUUACUUUUUUUUUUAUAAAAAAGGAAAAAAACUAUCAAAUAUUUGACAGUUUUGUAGGAUUUUAGAAAGGAAAUUAAUAUUACAUAAUAUUUUACUAUUAUAUUUUUUCUAGGAUUUAA